rnacentral:rRNA from 1 species
GUGCCAGCCGCCGCGGUAAUACGGAGGGUGCAAGCGUUAUCCGGAUUCACUGGGUUUAAAGGGUGCGUAGGUGGGUUGGUAAGUCAGUGGUGAAAUCCCCGAGCUUAACUUGGGAACUGCCAUUGAUACUAUCAGUCUUGAAUAUUGUGGAGGUUAGCGGAAUAUGUCAUGUAGCGGUGAAAUGCUUAGAUAUGACAUAGAACACCAAUUGCGAAGGCAGCUGGCUACGCAUAUAUUGACACUGAGGCACGAAAGCGUGGGGAUCAAACAGGAUUAGAUACCCUGGUAGUCC